CAAAUCAGACUCUGGAAAGAUCAGUUUAACUACCUUGAAAAUCCUGAACUCCUUAAGUAUGAAUGAGGAAACUGGCUAUAGACUCCAUGUCAGAGAAGCACUAAGACACCUGGAUUUAUUCUAGCAAUAGGGGAUAAAAGAGAUUCAAGUUUAACUGUCUAAUAAAAAGAACGACUUCAGGAUGCUAGUGGAUUAGGCAUUACUUGAGAAGGUGUGGGAGGAAAGAAAGAGCUAUUGAAGUUAUUAAUGUAGGAACCAUGGAAGCUUCUGACUGGAGAUCGAUUUGUAAGAAGCCACAACUCCAGCAGGGGUCCUAGGGAUUAAAAGGGAGUUUGGACUAACACAUAAUUAAGUAGCCACAGUUUAGAUAAGACAUCUCUAAAGGGCAGUAAACUAACUGCCCACCAGCUUUUGAAAUUUGUAAUUACUCAAUGAAGUGAUUGCUUGGCAUAAAAGAGGUGACAUUUUUAAUAUUUCUUUGCAGAAAGCCAUUUUAGAAUAUUAAAAAGAAAAAAAAAUAUGGCAACUGAGAGUCUUUGCCCCACAGCCUCUCCCUGGUUUCCGUUAAAUUCUGAAGAUACUCAUUUUUUUCUUCACUGGCAUUAAUUUGGCAACCAGACUUACCCCGUCUACUUCAUAUAAGUUCUCUGUGAGCAGUAAUUCAACAUAAUUGCACUAACCAGGAAUAUAUAGCUUUUCUGUGUGUUAAAAAUAAAUGCUUCUUGCAUGUACCUGUGACUUUAUUUUAUUCUAGUCUUCUACUCCUGACCUGUGGUGGACCAUUAUCUCUGUCCUUCUGUGUGUUACAGGGCUUGUUGAGAAGGUCACUGUUAACAGGCACAUGGACCUUGAACUCUCCGGAGCACUGAAAACACCUGCAAGCUCUGUCCACUGAAGAGGCCCAGAAGCUAUGUCACCCAGAGGAAAUGAACACUCUAGUGCCAAGAUCUUGGUUUCCAAGUAUUGUUCACCACUGAGAGGAAAGACCGUUCCCUGGAGAAAUGACUGAUUUCAGAUCAGAGACAGAGCAUGUGUAAGAAAGAUGGUCCCAGCUGCAGCGUGGAGAGGGGAACAUGAGCUGGAGAAGUGAGAAGAUGGGCAGGAAAAGAGAUGGGAAAGAACUGAAUUAAAGCCAUGGCAGAGGAGAUGGGACAGAGACAUUUAAGAUGUGGAAAUGGUGGGAUUUUGGUAACCAGUGAGGUCGUUUGGUCCUGCUGUAGAGCCAAUCACAGAGAAAGACCACAGAAGGAUAAACAAGUUUAGGGGUGGAAGGUCCAUUUCGGACCAUAUGAAGUUUGAGACAUUCAGAAGGC